AUCCAGCUGACAAGUCCUAAAUAGGACGAAGCGCUUGUCCUGGAU
rnacentral:hammerhead_ribozyme from 1 species